CAGGAGCUCCUAGAAGAACCAGGACCUUCAAAUGACAGUAACAGAGCUUCCCACUUGACCUUCCUGAGCCUGGAGUGGUUCUUCUGUAAACUGAGGAAGCCCUCCUCCACUGUCUUCAAAGAAUUUUCCACAAGGCUCUAAAUUCUACCAGUCUGUGAUUCAAUGAUUCAAUUUCCAUGGAAUCAAACAUACUUAAGAGUCCUACUUUUCCAUUUUGUAGCAGAGAAAUUCUUGGCAACUGCGAAAGUCAAGCAAAGGAAACCAGAGUGCACUUCAGCUGACUAAUGUGCCUAAGGCAGUGAGAGCUGCCGAGUCCAGGAGGAACGAGACGAAGAGACGCAGCGCCAUGUGUGCAGAGGCACUGAGGAUGGGCGUCUACCUAGCCUCCUCCAGCACUGCCCACCCCCACUGCCAAACCACACAAAAGGAGGCCCUUCCCAGGCUGCCCUGCUCUGGCUGUGAUGGGGCAGAGCACCCAUCAGAAGCAAGACCCUGGAAAAGUACAACUGACUCAGACACACAGAAGCCCAGGUAGCAGUCAGAGAAAAUGCUUCUACCCAGAACCACUCCAUGUAGUAGCAGAGUGGUCACAAAGCCCUGGGACACAAGAGUGUCCUGGGAACAGCUAAAGAUCUACUCUCAGUUAUGAGGAGCCGAUUCAAUGACUUCCAAGCAGCAUCAUGGAAGAAGGCAUCAAGCAGAACAUGGGAAAAUUAAAAAUUUAUCCAGACGAUAGAGCAAGGCAUACAGUACCUUCUAAUUAGCAUGCAUAGGAACUUGGUCACUCACCAGUGGAAGUUAAAUUCCAAGGUCAGGGUACAAAGUAAGUUACCCACAGCCAAAUUAUCCCUGAGAAUCUCUUGAGUCUCCCACAAAGUACCAUAUACAUGCUUCUGGCAACCCUGUAUAGUCACUGUUGUGCCUAUCCAAGUUCUAAAAACUUUGAGGCCAACUAAAGGACAGAACCAAAAGGGAGACUAAAUGCAAGCUGGCCAUUCACACCACUCACUCAGCCCUAGGAAGACCAACAAAUCCCUCCCACGAAUGGGAUGGUCUGUGGGGCUCCUGAUUGCCCACAGUAUCUGUUCCAUCUUGUUUUAGUAUUAAACUUCUAUAACUUUAAUAUAUAUUAAUAAACGUGUUUGUUGUGAUGAGUAAGAUGGAAGAUGGUUAGAUUUCUGAAGUGAGGUGAGAAUUGAAUGGGCCCCAUGGUGCAAGACUACUGCACAGAAAAUCUAGUUAAGAACUCAAACUCUGGCCGGGCGCAGUGGCUCACGCCUGUAAUCCUAGCACUCUGG